CCUACGGGUGGCAGCAGUGAGGAAUAUUGGUCAAUGGCCGGAAGGCUGAACCAGCCAAGCCGCGUGAAGGACGACGGUGCUAAGCAUUGUAAACUUCUUUUGUCAAGGGACAAAAUCAGGCUCGAGAGCCUGACCGAGGGUACUUGAAGAAAAAGCAUCGGCUAACUCCGUGCCAGCCGCCGCGGUAAUACGGAGGAUGCGAGCGUUAUCCGGAUUUAUUGGGUUUAAGGGGUGCGUAGGCGGACGGUUAAGUCAGCGGGAAAAGCCCGGGGCUCAACCUCGGCGAGCCGUUGAAACUGGCUGUCUAGAGAGGUCGAGAGGUAGGCGGAAGGCGCGGUGUAGCGGUGAAAUGCUUAGAUAUGGCGCAGAACUCCGAUUGCGAAGGCAGCAUACCGGCGGCGAUCUGACGCUGAGGCACGAAAGCGUGGGUAUCGAACAGGAUUAGAUACCCGAGUAGUC
rnacentral:rRNA from 1 species